GACGUAGGAUGCAAGCGUUGUCCGGAUUUAUUGGGCGUAAGGAGUUCGUAGGUGGUUUGUUAAGUCUGAUGUUAAAGACUGGGGCUCAACCUCGGAAAUGCAUUGGAUACUGGCAGACUUGAGUGCAGUAGAGGCAAGCGGAAUUCCAGGUGUAGCGGUGAAAUGCGUAGAUAUCUGGAAGAACACCGGUGGCGCAAGCGGCUUGCUGGGCUGUAACUGACACUGAGGAACGAAAGCUAGGGGAGCAAAUGGG
rnacentral:rRNA from 1 species